rnacentral:rRNA from 1 species
AUGAUUGCCGAGGCGUGGGACACUGCUAACUCUGGGGAGGAGGGCCUGACGGGUGUGCAGCAGAAACUGGGUAACAUGACGGGAUCAAUGCAGUGGUGGGCGCGGGAGGGCUAUCAACAAGAGGUGAGGGACAUUGAAGAGCAGCUAAGAGAGGUUUAUGAGCAUGAGGAAAUUAUGUAUAGGCAGCGAUCGAGGGUCGACUGGCUCAAGGCGGGGAAUCAAAACACUCAGUAUUUUCAGAACCGGGCAUCGCAUCAGAGAAGGAAGAACACUGUCAAGAUGCUACGACGGGAGGAUGGGUCAAAGUGUACGAAUGAUGAUGAAAUGAGAGCCAUGGCUGCUACGUUUUAUGAAAUCCUCUUCACUUCGGAGGGGUCUGCUGGGGCGGAUGGUCUACUACAGAACAUUCAAAGAGCAGUUACAAAUGACAUGAACACAACCUUGACCGCUCCAAUCUUGGACAAGGAAAUAGAGACAACUCUAUUUCAAAUGGGGCCAACAAAGGCACCUGGUCUAGAUGGUCUACCGGCGCUCUUCUACCAAUGA